GACGAACGCUGGCGGCGUGCCUAAUACAUGCAAGUUGAGCGCUGAAGGUUGGUACUUGUACCAACUGGAUGAGCAGCGAACGGGUGAGUAACGCGUGGGGAAUCUGCCUUUGAGCGGGGGACAACAUUUGGAAACGAAUGCUAAUACCGCAUAAAAACUUUAAACACAAGUUUUAAGUUUGAAAGAUGCAAUUGCAUCACUCAAAGAUGAUCCCGCGUUGUAUUAGCUAGUUGGUGAGGUAAAGGCUCACCAAGGCGAUGAUACAUAGCCGACCUGAGAGGGUGAUCGGCCACAUUGGGACUGGGACACGGCCCAAACUCCUACGGGAGGCAGCAGUAGGGAAUCUUCGGCAAUGGACGGAAGUCUGACCGAGCAACGCCGCGUGAGUGAAGAAGGUUUUCGGAUCGUAAAACUCUGUUGGUAGAGAAGAACGUUGGUGAGAGUGGAAAGCUCAUCAAGUGACGGUAACUACCCAGAAAGGGACGGCUAACUACGUG
rnacentral:rRNA from 1 species